rnacentral:rRNA from 1 species
UACAGAGGUCUCAAGCGUUGUUCGGAUUCAUUGGGCGUAAAGGGUGCGUAGGUGGCGCCGUAAGUCGGGUGUGAAAUUUCGGAGCUUAACUCCGAAACUGCAUUCGAUACUGCGGUGCUUGAGGACUGGAGAGGAGACUGGAAUUCAUGGUGUAGCAGUGAAAUGCGUAGAGAUCAUGAGGAACACCAGUGGCGAAGGCGGCUUGCUGGGCCGGACCUGACGCUGAGGCGCGAAGGCGUGGGGAGCGAACGGG